CUCCUUUCUCAUAGACGAUUCAGGCUACAACAAAUGUCGCGACCUGAGCUCUUCUUUGUGUGUUGAGCUGUUUUUUUGUACAUUUUCACAGUGUUAUUUAAACAGUGCAUUAAGUUUUUUCCGCGAGUGUUUACAAGUGUGCAGAGUUAGGUAGUUCAUCAUUGCUGUUUUAAGGCAAGGAUUUUUGCCAUCAGAAGGAGGGAUUUACAAAGUGUAAGUCAACUCUCUCUGCUGGCAGUCAGGUUA